UACGGGGGGGGCAAGCGUUGUUCGGAAUUACUGGGCGUAAAGGGCGCGUAGGCGGUCAGACCAAGUCGAGUGUGAAAUUCCAGGGCUUAACUCUGGCACGCUCGCUCGAUACUGGAUGGCUUGAGUUCGGGAGAGGGAUGCGGAAUUCCAGGUGUAGCGGUGAAAUGCGUAGAUAUCUGGAGGAACACCGGUGGCGAAGGCGGCAUCCUGGACCGACACUGACGCUGAGGAGCGAAAGCCAGGGGAGCAAACGGG
rnacentral:rRNA from 1 species